GGUGAGGUAAGGUGGCACACACUUGUAGUCCCAGCCACUGAAGAGACCAAGAGGGAGCAGGACCAAGGGGGAACCAGGAGUUCUGGGCUGUAGGAUACUAUGCCUAUCACAUAUUUGCACUAAGUUCAACGUCAAUAGAGUGACUUCCUGGGAGCAAGGGACCACCAAGUUGCCUAAGGAGAGGCAAACUGGCCCAGAUUAGAAGCAGAACAGGUCAGAACUCCCGUGCUGAUCAGUAGUGGGAUUGUGCCUGUGAAUAGCCACUGCACUCCAGCCUGGACAGCACAGCAAGACCCUUUCUCUU
ensembl:misc_RNA Metazoa_SRP Metazoan signal recognition particle RNA